UACGUAGGGUGCAAGCGUUUAAUCGGAAUUACUGGGCGUAAAGUGUGCGCAGGCGGUUGUGCAAGACAGAUGUGAAAUCCCCGGGCUUAACCUGGGAAUUGCAUUUGUGACUGCACGGCUAGAGUGUGUCAGAGGGGGGUAGAAUUCCACGUGUAGCAGUGAAAUGCGUAGAUAUGUGGAGGAAUACCGAUGGCGAAGGCAGCCCCCCUGGGAUAACACUGACGCUCAUGCACGAAAGCGUGGGGGAGCAAACAGG
rnacentral:rRNA from 1 species